GUGCGCGUCCUGCUGCUCGUACCCCGCCAGGUGCCGUGCGUGAGUCCACACCAGGUGCAGCAACUUGUACGGGAUGUGCGGGGAGCGGUGCCCCGAGUAGAACUGCUCGCAGAGAAAAGGGACACACGUCAGGAUCGGUUUUCUACAGAGAAGCCAAAAUGCUGAACCAGGAGUGCCCGAUGCGGGAACACAGUGGGCAGCCGCCUAAGUGGGUGCAAAGGCUGCGAUCCGAGGAAAAGUACAAGCAGUUCCAGAAACGGUGCGCUGCCCACGUCACCAGCGCUCACCUCCUGAAAAAGCGAGGACAUCUCGCAGACCAGACACGAGCUGGGGCUCUGCAUCUC